rnacentral:rRNA from 1 species
GACGGGACCCGCACAAGCGGUGGAUGAUGUGGUUAAUUCGAUGCAACGCGAAAACCUUACCCACCUUUGACAUGUACGGAAUCCUUUAGAGAUAGAGGAGUGCUCGAAAGAGAGCCGUAACACAGGUGCUGCAUGGCUGUCGUCAGCUCGUGUCGUGAGAUGUUGGGUUAAGUCCCGCAACGAGCGCAACCCUUGUCAUUAGUUGCUACAUUCAGUUGGGCACUCUAAUGAGACUGCCGGUGACAAACCGGAGGAAGGUGGGGAUGACGUCAAGUCCUCGUGGCCCUUAUAGGUGGGGCUACACACGUCAUACAAUGGAUGGUACAAAGGGUCGCCAACCCGCGAGGGGGAGCCAAUCCCAUAAAGCCAUUCGUAGUCCGGAUCGCAGUCUGCAACUCGACUGCGUGAAGUCGGAAUCGCUAGUAAUCGUGGAUCAGAAUGUCACGGUGAAUACGUUCCCGGGUCUU